rnacentral:rRNA from 1 species
GACAGAGGCCCCAAGCGUUAGGCGGAAUCACUGGGCUUAAAGCGUGUGUAGGCGGAUCGUUAAGUGUCUUGUGAAAUCCCACGGCUCACCCGUGGAACUGCUGGGCAUACUGGCGAUCUUGGGCCAACUAGGGGCAGUCGGAACAAGCGGUGGAGCGGUGAAAUGCGUAGAUAUCGCUUGGAACGCCGAAGGUGAAAACAGACUGCUGGGGUUGCGCCGACGCUGAGACACGAAAGCCAGGGGAGCAAACGGGG